GAAAAACUGCAAGUCCCUUCUGGUGUGAGAGAAUUGGCCGUCUGCAAGGAUGUUGCGCAGGGGACGUUGACCGGAUGCUUUGAUGUUUUUACCAUCCUUGUGAGAGGCUUCUCUCAUGUCCCCGCAUGGAGCUGGAGCUGACAGAGGCAGCUCAUCCGCGCUCUGCACGGGUUGGAUUCGAACCGGCAACCUUCAGCUGCAGCAGCCGCAGGGAGCGGAGCAGAAAAACCUGACCGUCCUGCUACAGCCCUGGCCUUGUUUGCAGCCCGCCCUGCGCCUGCGCACACACACACACACACCUGGAGCACGGCUCCGGCUCUGCACACUUUGCACAGCGGCCAGCAACGUGCCUUUGGGACCGGGGAGGGAGGGAGGCCAGGAGGGAGGGACGGUACUUUUCCACUGGCCUGGAGAUCCCUCUUUGCUCCAAGGAGGAACCUUGAGGCAGGUUGAUCGGUCAAGGCAUCUGCGUCCGGAUGGGACCUGGAUCACUGCCAUGGUGGCCAACGGCACAUGAAACUGACCUGGAAUAAUGCAGGGCAAGGCCACCUUCUGCAGCCUUGCCCUGGUUUAACAACAAAAAAAAAUAUGGGGAAAGUCCUGUUGGAAAUAACACUACAGUAGAGUCUCACUUAUCCAAGCUAAACGGGCCGGCAGAAGCUUGGAUAAGCAAAUAUGUUGGAUAAUAAGGUGGGAUUAAGGAAAAGCCUAUUAAACAUCAAAUUAGGUUAUGAUUAUACAAAUUAAGCACCCAAACAUCAUGUUAUACAACAAAUUUAACAGAAAAAGUAGUUCAAUAAGCAGUAAUGCUAUGUUGUAAUUACUGUAAUAAUAAUAAUAAUAAUAAUAAUAAUAAUAAUAAUAAUAAUAAUAAUUCCUUGACAAAAUUGAAGGAAAAGCUGAUAAGGAGAAAACCUGGCUCUGGCUCACAAAUGGGACCCUGAAGAAGGAGACAGAAGGCCUGAUCCUUGCAGCCCAGGAGCAAGACAUCAGGACAAAGGCAAUUAAUAAUAAUAAUAAUAAUAGAAGACCUGGCUGUGGCUCACGAAUGGGACCCUGAAGAAGGAGACAGAAGGCCUGAUCCUUGCAGCCCAGGAGCAAGACAUCAGGACAAAGGCAAUUAAUAAUAAUAAUAAUAAUAAUAGAAGACCUGGCUCUGGCUCACGAAUGGGACCCUGAAGAAGGAGACAGAAGGCCUGAUCCUUGCAGCCCAGGAGCAAGACAUCAGGACAAA
rnacentral:lncRNA from 11 species